AUGGAAGAUGAGACUUUACAAAGUGAACCAGAGACAGCAAAAGUUAAAACACACGCUUCACCUGAAAUCAGCCGCCGGAUAUCAGUUAGUGAGUUCCUUUGUCAUUGCUGUUAUGACAUUCUGAUCAAUCCCACCACCCUGAACUGUGGACAUAGUUUCUGUAGACAUUGCCUAGCCUUGUGGUGGGUAUCCUCCAAGAAGAAUGAAUGUCCAGAAUGCAGAGAAAAAUGGGAAGGAUUCCCCAAAGUCAACAUCCUCCUCAGGGAUGUUAUUGAAAAGCUAUUUUCUGAUGCCAUUGAACAAAGAAAGGAAGAUAUUCAACAAAACAGUGAUGUGGCACGCAGUUUAGCAACCUUCCAAAAAUAUGGGAAUGACCAGAUUCCUACAGCUCCAAACAUGAGAAGAAUUAAUCCUCGAGGAGGAGGAUUUUUUUCAGGCGUUCUGACAGCUUUAACUUGUGUAGCAGUAGUUCUACUUGGGUAUCACUGGAGUAGCAGAGAAUUUGAAGAUGAUCUUCUUGUCCAAAAGCCUGUUGCUAAAUGGACUGCUGAAGAAGUGAUCCUUUGGCUAGAGCAGCUGGGCCCAUGGGCGUCACAUUAUAAAGAAAGAUUUUUGCAUGAGAAAGUGAAUGGAAGGUUACUUCUAACACUGACAGAGGAAGAUUUCACAAAAGAGCCUUACAACAUAGAGAACAAUAAUCAUAGAAAAGCUAUUAUGACGGAAUUGGAAUGUGUCAAAACUUUAGGGGUUAAACCACCACAGAACCUUUGGGAAUAUAAGGCAGUAAAUCCUGGAAAAUCACUCUUUCUUCUGUAUGCGCUGAAGAGUUCUCCAAGACUCAGUAUGUUAUACCUGUAUUUGUUUGAUUAUGCAGAAACUUUCCUACCUUUCAUCCACACAAUUUGUCCUGUGCAAGAAGAUGAAUAUGAAGAUAUUGUCACAAAACUACUAGACCUUAAAGAUCCUACUUGGAAACAGUGGAGAGAAUUUAUUGUAAAGUAUUUAUUUUUGCCAUACCAGUUGAUAGCUGAAUUUGCUUGGGACUGGUUGGAGGUGCACUACUGGACAUCAAGAUUUAUAAUUGUAAAUGCCAUGUUGCUUUCCGUUCUGGAAUUAUUCUCUUUUUGGAGGCUGUGGUCAAGAAGAGAACUGAAAGACUUCUCAUUAUCUUUAUGGACAAGAAUAUUCCUAUAGGUUUGAUUAUGCAUUCCUGAAAAAGCAGUAUCACCACUAAUAUCUGCCUAAUACAGUGUGGAUAGGAGUAACUGGAACCAGAGAACCUUCAGCACUAAAAUCAUGAUUUGCUACAGCUGAAGUAAAUCAGAUGCUUUCAAAUCAGCCAAGAUAUGUAAUAGUAAUUUGCUGAAGAUUAUGCACGGAGUAGAAGUGCAAAACGCAUAGGUCAACAUUCAAUGAAACGUUUGCUUUAGCCACUAGCCGGUGUUUGAUUUCCAGUGAGAAGCUGGGACUCUAAUUUCAGUGGCAGGUAGGAGUUUAAAUAUGUUCUCAAAUCUGGGCCAUGGUUUUCUAUGCAGGCCUGUUUUUCACUAUAUUUGGAAAGCAACAAAUGCCAACAUAAUAUAAACAAUUUAGAACAAUUUUUAUAUCCUGUAAUUAUAAAGGCUUAAGUCUAUACUUCCUUGCAGUAUCAAUUACUGGAUUGAGAAUACGUUUUCUUAAAAUUAGGAAGGAGUUUAUGAUUCUAUAGGCCUUCUGGUCCUUUAAAAGUGAUUAGUUAUGGGCAAGAUAAAGACACAUUCAGGACAUUUGCAAGAAGAUGACUCCAUUUGCAGAUUUACUAUCAGAGAAAGCUAAGAAAACAGUUGAGUCUGGAGGCAGCACUUGAAGUAAAGUACCCAAACCUUGUAAAAGUUAUAGUGCUCAGGGAAGAUGAUGAUUCUUAGGUCUUACAGAGUUCACUGAAUCUUCAAAGAGAUAUGCAAAUAUUGCAUACUUUAAUCUCCAUUGUACAAAUUAAAAACUAGGAGACCAGUGAGUUUAAGUCUUAAGCAUUGGUCAUUCUUUUUGUUUUGUGUUGUUUUUUAAUACAAGGAAGAUGACCUGAUCUAAAUACAUACAUUUCUUUCUUGUUUAAAAAAAAAAAAAUCCUAGUGGUAAUAUUGUAUUUACUGAAUUUAAUAGGAAGCAAUCUAAAAAAAUUCUUGUCUACUGGUUUCAGUAUAAACUAAUCUGUAAUAUAAUAAAGUACAUACCAUCCUAAGCACACAGAAGGGCUGUAUGCAUUAAAAUAGGAUUUAUAAAGAAUGUUAUGUUCCUGUGUGUAAAAGAGAAAAAGUUUUAACUACAUAUGAGAUGUCAUUAUAAAAUUCACACAUCAAAUGUCAUGGAAGUACCUCGUUUGUUCCCAGUGAUGGAACUGCUAAUCUGUUUGCAUUUACUAUACAGAGUAAGGGAGUUUGCUAUACCGUGUGUAAUAUACCUUGCUAAUUGGCAUCAGGGUGGUGAGAUAGUAACAAAAGUCAGUGAAACAAGGAAUCAACCAUAGUAAAACUUUAGAAAGAAUAGCUUUCCAUUCAUUUGGUUUGUGUGAACCUUGCUAAAUGGAUUUAAAUUCUUUAAAGCGUUUAACCCUAAAACUGUAUAGCAUCAAGUCAUAGGUGAUCUCAAGAACCAGCAGUCAAAAGAUGACCAGUAGCAAAGUAGUUCAAUCCUGUGAGACCUUCUUCCUAGUUUCAAAUUUAGGUUAUGCCUUUCACUGACUAGUUUGCAGAAAUAAGCACUUGUAUUCAGAAAUAGGCAUUUAAACUCUUUCAGAUGGCAAAUACUAAAUAAAUUUUCCUUUCUUAUGAUGUAGAACGUAGUACAGUCUAAUUGUGUUUUCAGUUUUUUAAUGUAAGUAUUUUCAUUAAAAUUAUUUUAAAUGCUAGAAAUUUUGUCUAGCUUUUUAUGACCAUGGUAGCCAAAAACAGGGAUACUAUGGUGCUGCAUAUAAAAUUUUAUGCCAACAAUAUUCAGACUAUCUUUUUAAAUGCUCAGGUUCUACAUAUUAGAUGUUUUUACUUCACUGAGCAAAACACUAUUGCAUACAUGGAGUAUUCUGAAUUUUACACGUGAAGCUCAAGAUCCACUUAUUUAACCAUAAUGGUGAUUUAAUACUGCUAUGAGAAUU